AUGAAGCCUUUCCUUUUACACACACAGAAACAAAUUUGAGAUCACCCAUAUUCUUACAACUCAGUUUUCUAGAGUGAACAUUUGCCAAAAAACCCUUCUAACCUAAAUAAGAUUAUAGAUUAUCUUGUAAAUUGGGUUAAUUAGUAUAGUGUUGGGUAUAUCAAUCCAUAAAAAUAUAAAAAUAGAAUGGAUGAAUAAAUAAAUUGUUGAUGACAGGGAAAACUGAUGACUUUUAAUCUGAAUGCAGGUAAAAACAUUAAAAUCCCCAGUAACAUCAUGUUAGGCUUGUGCAGUAAUGUCUUUAAUUUACAAAACAAUUUCUCCAUUGCACUUUCCUUCCACUCUUGGGGAUAAAUUUGAUUGUAACUAGUUAUCUGAACAUUUUAAUUUAAAAUUCUAAUCUACAUCUCUGGAGACUGGAGAACAUACCACACACACACACACACACACACACACACACACACACACACACAGAGAGAGAGAGAGAGAGAGAGAGAAGAAAAAAAAGCAGUGGAAAUCCCACAAUCCCACAAAGAAUAUUUUGGUAACAAAUUACAGCACAAAGAUAUGUUUGUUUGUUUACUGUAUUUUGUGUUUGCUGCACCUGGUAAGAGGUGAUUUUUUACCAUCAUUUAAUUUAACUUUCUAAAGAUCCACACUGUUCUAGGUAAUAUGGUUAGUAGACAACCCUUCUACCUGUAAAUUUUUAGUACAAGUAGGUUCAUUUUUUAAAAUAACUUACUUGCUUGUGUUCAUAAUAUACUCAGAUUAGUUCAGCUCCAUCAGAUAAACUGGAGACAUGCAGGACAUUAGGGUAGCUUUGAAAUAAAAGAAUAACAAUCUCUUAGUUACAAACAUAACUAUGGAAUCAAAUAAUUCUAAUUUCUAGAUUGCUGGUGAUGUCAGUAGGCCCACUUAGCAUUGGUCAAAUGCCAAGCAAUGUGUAAUUCUUCAAAAAAUACCUGACCAAGACUAUGAGAUGGUCAGAUGCAAUCAAUGCUUUUAAAUGAGUUUUCAUUAAAACACGCAGUUUGAGAGAGGCCUCUCAAAACUGAGGUUUGAAAACAUUUUUGUGGGUUGACAGUCCUUGUAAAAACAAUCCAUGUGCAAGGCUGUACUCCAAAGUAAUUGGUCGUUAAAAAUGUAAAUUUCCAGGGAUUUCUUUGUUUUUGUUUUUUGUUUUUUUUUUUUUUUUUUAACAGAAUUUGGCUCUUGUCGCCAGGCUGGAGUGCAAUGGUGUGAUCUCAGCUCACUGCAACCUCCACCUCCCAGGUUCAAGCAAUUCUCCUGCCUCAGCCUCUGAAGUAGCUGGGAUUACAGGUGUGCACCACCACACCUGGCUAAUUUUUGUAUUUUUAUUAGAGACUGGGUUUCACCAUGUUGGACAGGCUGGUCUGAAACUCCUGACCUCAGGUGAUGCACCCACCUUGGCCUCCCAAAGUGUCCAGGGAUAUUUUGAUUUUUUAUGUUGCCUACAUGGUUUUAUAGAGUCCUUAAAACUGUCCAGUACAAUGCCCGCUUUCCCAUUUUACAGAAAGAAGAAACAGAUUGAGAGUUGUCAUGCACUUAUUCAGGGUAAUUUUGGCCAGCACAUAUGCCAGAUGUGGGCUUACCCUACUGCUAAGGAUCACAGGCAAAUGCAAGAUUCACAGUCUUUACAGGCACAACUAAAAGGCAUUUCAAGUCCUUUAAAUAAAAAGGAAAUCUUUUUAAGGAGAAACAAUAAAUAUGUCCAUGCAUACAGCUGUCAAUUGCUGGAGUUUGGGUUCCAACCCAUGUCUACUGGAUUCCAACGCCCCCUUUCCUUCAUUUCCCUAUAUCCUAGAUCCAGUUCCAGUUGUAGUUCAUCUGAAUAGUGAAGGUUAAUAUGUACAGAGUAAUGUCUUUGAAUGUAGGACAGCAGGAACAUUCGAGGCUGUAAGUGCUAGACAUGGUUUCCCAGUGUCUCUUACAAGUAGCAGUGUCUAUGUGACACAGUUCUGUCUAAUACAACCUAAGCACAAGUGUGGAGGUUUCUGGGAAAGCCUUUAUUUCCUGAUUCUAGCCCUAAGCCUUAUUUCUCCUUUCUUUCCUUCCUGAAGCAGACAUAGAAAGGGAGGUGAAGUAGCCCUCUUGGGACCAUGAGGUGUGGAGCAUAAAGAGGAAGGUCUAUAUGCUUAGACACAGCUGCCUGGGAGGGUGGGAAUAGCCUGCUGGCAACAUUGAGGGGCUAAAUGGGGUUGGAUGCUUUUUCUCACAGGCUCUUAUAAGUAACUUUUUAAGGUUUUUCUGUUAUUUACUCUAUCCUGAGAUAGAUAGAUGAUAGAUAGGUGAUAGAUAGAUGAUAGAUAGAUAGAUAGAGGAUAGAUAGAUAGAUAGAUAGAUAGAUAGAUAGAUAGAUGAUAGAUAGAUAGUGUGUGUAUAUAUAUAUAUGUGCAAAAUACAUUUUUAUUAAGAAAUAAACUUACAGUCAUCAGUUUCCUAUGAGAGUUUUAGGCAUACUUUAGUGGCACUUGAAUUAGAUAGUCUAAGGAUUGAAGUGAUUAUUUGAGUGUUUAUACUAGAUGGUUUACCACAGGAAAUCUUUGUACCACUGAAAGAGGAGUCAUAUAUUGAAAAGCAGUGAAUACAGAUUCUGGGUCCAGAAGCCCUGCCUCCACGGAUUUUGUGGAGGACAGGAUGAGGGAUGUGGGUCAGGAUGGGCUCUGCCGAGCUGCUUUCUGCAUCUGGGGGUGCAUCUUUGUCUUGUCCAAGUUGUAAGUUUCCUGGGCAUUGCCCUCGUCCUUCUGUGUUGGAAUCUCCAUUUCAUAGAGCACUCCUUUCAGCUUUGUCCCAGAUGACAGGUGGCCUCUGAGCUUCUACAGCCCCAUAUUGAAUUCCUUUGCUUGUGGCCUUCUACCUGCACCAUCUUCCAGCGCCAACUUUGUCUAUAGGGCUUUGCCAACAGUUGUAAGAGAAACUUAUUUUUAAAAUAUAUAAAACCCUGCUCUUUUAUAUUUUACCACUAAUCUCUUUUCCUAGUUUUGUAUUUUCUACAAAAUUCUUAUUGUUUCCCAUGAUCUGUCAACAACAGGCAACUCAUACCUGAUCCCAAUGACAGUCGGUGCUACAUUGGAUCUGUUUUUUUUCUAGUUUUUUUUUUAAAUUAUUAUUUCAUUGAGAUUUGGAGAAUAAGAAGAAGUAAACACUUUUAUUCAAGCCUCCAGUGCUGACUCUCCCCAGAUGCCUUUGGAACUGCUCCAGAUGUUUAUGCUUUCCUUUCAGGUUAUCAUGCUGCUUUAUCCAGAAGAAUCAAACAAGAAAUGAAGGGCCAUCGUGAUCUUCAAAAAGUCUUCUUCUCAGCAAACUGCUGGAAAUACCAUUAUUUUGUUUGAGUAGUGUCAAUGGUAACCUCAAGGGAUGAAAAGGCACCCAGGGGCUGACAGUAGCAGGAAACCAUUAACUCUUUUAGGCUAGAAGGGGAAGAAGGAAACAGUAUUAAGCAGAUCCAGUGACAGGUGGAGCCACUGAAGUGGUACUGCCUAAAAGGAUCUGUGGCUUAGGAACCCACUGCCAUAGGCAGACCACAUACCUAAACUCACUGUCUCCCCACCCUAAAGACUCCUGCUGGUACCCAGACUGGCUGAUCUCCAUCAGAAGCCAGAGUGUGGGAGCCUGGGAAAUGCAGUGUGGAGGGUCAGACUCAGAGCAUAGGGCAGUGAUGGACAAGGAAGAGCAGGGUAUGGAGGAGCCAGGUGGGGACAAGGGGGGAGGGCAUCAAACAGAGAAUGCCCAGGUCUCCACCUGAUUUAUGUCAAAUAGUGAUCUGAAUCAGCAUGACAGACUAUUUUUAGCGUUCUUGUUUAAAUCAGCUUCAAAAUUUUUAUAAAGUGUAAAAGGAGGACAGGAAAAUUAAGUCCUUAAUGUUUUUUAAAUUUAGGAAGAAAUGAUGGUUAGCACAAAUCAGAAUUAGUUGUAAAGUAAAUACUAAGUAUUGAAAUAGAAGGCAAAUGUCUUGACAAGAAAAAAUUGAUAACAGAAAUGAGGAAGGGGCAUUAAAAAUAUAAAAUAAAAAACUGGUCACUUCCAAAUGGCCCAAUAGGAACAGCUCCAGUCUGCAACUCCCAGUGAGAUUGAUGCAGAAGACAGGUGAUUUCUGCACUUCCAACUGAGGUGCCUGGUUCAUUUCACUGGAACUGGUUGAACAGUGGGGGCAGCCCACAGAGGGUGAGCUGAAGCAGGGCGAGGUGUCACCUCACCCGGGAAAUGCAAGGUUGGGGAGGAUUUCCCUUUCCUAGCCAAGGGAAGCCAUAACAGACUGUAGCUGGAGAAAGGGUACACUCAUGACCAAAUAGUGCCCUUUUCCAACAGUCUUAGCAACCGCAGACCAGGAGAUACCCUCCUUUGCCUGGCUAGGCAGGUCCCAUGCCCAAGGAGCCUUGCUCACUACUAGCGCAGCAGUCUGAGAUCGACCGGCUACGCAGCAGCUUGAUGGGGGGAGGGGCAUCCACCAUUGCUGAGGCUUGAGUAGCUCACAGUGUAAACAAAGAGGCUAGGAAGCACAAACUGG
rnacentral:lncRNA from 1 species